GGAAUAAAGUGGGACGUUAACAAUAAUAAGAACGCCACCCAUGAAAGCAGAACCCCGGGCUCUCCAUUGGAACUUUAGAGUGGACCACCGCACCGGUACGACGGUCACCUGGAGGCCCAGGAGUCAUCAGGACAAAUAACUCUGAAUAUAUAUAAAUGAUAUCUAAUGUGUUUGUGAUGACAGAGCAAUUAUGUCAAAAUGAAACACAUAUUUAAAAAUGUUUUUUUUUCUCUUGUUAGCAAUGUAUUCAUAAAAAACUUCACUUG